CACGGACCAAUCUGAAGAAAACUGCAUUUCAGGGCCUGUUGAGGCUAAAACUCCAGUUGGAGGUCCAGAACAUGUUCUCGUGACUCAGCAAUUUCCUUGUCAGAAUCCAUUACCUGCAAAUAGUGGCCAGGCUCAGUGGGUCUUGUGUCCUUCAAAUUCUUCGCAGCGUGUUCCUUUGCAAGCACAAAAGCUUGUCUCCAGUCACAAGCCAGUUCAGAAUCAGAAGCAGAAGCAAUUGCAGGCAACCAGUGUACCUCAUCCUGCCUCCAGGCCACUGAAUAACACCCAAAACAGCAAGCAGUCCCCGCUGUCGGCACCUGAAAAUAAUCCUGAGGAGGAACUGGCAUCAAAACAGAAAAAUGAAGAAUCAAAAAGAGGCAAUGGGCUUUGGAAGACCUUGAAAUUGGUCGCCCUCCGGGUAAAGGAAAGUUUGGUAAUGUUUAUUUGGCAAGAGAAAAACAAAGCAAGUUUAUUCUGGCUCUUAGGGUGUUAUUUAAAGCUCAGCUGGAGAAAGCAGGAGUGGAGCAUCAACUCAGAAGAGAAGUAGAAAUACAGUCCCACCUCCAACAUCCUAAUAUAAUCAGACUGUAUGGUUAUUUCCAUGAUGCCACCAGAGUCUACCUAAUUCUGGAAUAUACACCACUUGAAACAGUCAAUACAGAACUUCAGAAACUUUCAAAGUUUGAUGAGCAGAGAACUGCUACUUAUAUCACAGAAUUGGCAAGUGCCCUGUCUUACUGUCAUUCAAAAACAGUUAUUCAUAGAGACAUUAAGCCAGAGAACUUACUUCUUGGAUCAGCUGGAGAGCUUGAAAUUGCAAAUUUUGGGUGGUCAGAACAUGCUCCAUCUUCCAGGAGGACCACUCUCUGUGGCACCCUGGACUACCUGCCCCCCGAAAUGAUUGAAGGUCGGAUGCAUGAUGAGAAGGUGGAUCUCUGGAGCCUUGGAGUUCUUUGCUGUGAAUUUUUAGUUGGGAAGCCUCCUUUUGAGGCAAAUACAUACCAAGAGACCUACAAAAGAAUAUCACGGGUUGAGAAUUCACAUUCCCUGACUUUGUAACAGAGGGAGCCAGGGACCUCAUUUCAAGACUGUUGAAGCAUGUUCCCAGCCAGAGGCCAAUGCUCAGAGAAGUACUUGAAUACCCCUGGAUCACAGCAAAUUCAUCAAAACCAUCAAAUUGCCAAAACAAAGAAUCAACUAGCAAGUAUUCUU
rnacentral:lncRNA from 1 species